CAGAACUUCCAGUACUAUGUUGAAUAGGAGUGGUGAGAGAGUGUAUCCUUGUCUUGUGCCAGUUUUCAAAGGGAAUGCUUCCAGAUUUCGCCCAUUCAGUAUGAUAUUGGCUGUGGGUUUUUCAUAUAUAGCUCUUCUUAUUUUGAGAUAUGUCCCACCAAUACCUAGUUCAUGGAGAGUUUUUAACAUGAGGGGAUGUUGAAUUUUAUCAAAGGCCUUUUCUGUGCCUAUUGAGAUAAUCAUGUGGUUUUUGUCAUUAGUUCUGUUUAUGUGAUGGAUUACAUUUAUUGAUUUGUGUAUGUUGGACCAGCCCUGCAUCUCACAGAUGAAGCUGACUUGAUCAUGAUGACUGCCUUUUCACUUAACUGUGUCCUCAUAUGGAAGAGAGGAGAAAAGAGGAGAGGAGGGGAGAGGCAAGUUCUCUUGUGUUUCUUCUUACAAAGCACAAAUGCCAUUAUGAGGGCCCCACCCUCAGGACCUCAUCUAAUCCUAAUUUCCUCCCAAAAUUAAAUCUCAAAUGUCAUCACAUUGUGGUUAGGAGUCAACACAUAAUUGGGGGUCAUGGUGGGGGUAAGUCACAAACAAUCAUUCUGUAGCAAUUAUUGAUCUUAAUGGAUUUAGGACUAAUGCUACUUAUUUCUCCAGUGAGUUUUAAUAAUGUGUAUCUUUCAAGCAAUUGUUCAUUUCAUUUAAAUAAUCAGUUUUGGGGCCAAAAAUUGUUCAUGCUAUUUCUUUUCUUUUUAUUUUAAUAUCCUUGGGAACAGUAGUAAUGCUCUUUAAUUCAUUUUUAAUAUUAAUUGUUGUCUUCUUCCUUUUUUAUAGUUACUUGGCAAAAAGUUCAUAAACUUUAUUGAUGUUUUCAAAUAAUUAGCUUAAAAAUAUUUUUUGAGAAAGGGUCUUACUCUGUCACUCAGGCUGGAGUGCAGUGGUGUGAUCAUGGCUAACUGUAUCCUUGACCUCCUGGGCUCAAGCAAUCCUCCCACCUGAGUCUCCUGAGUUGCUGGGACCAUUGGUGCACACCACCAUGCCUGCUAUUUUUUUUUAAUUUAUUUUUAUUUUGUAGAGACGGGGCUUCACUAUGUUGCUUACUCUGGGUCUCAAACUCCUGGGCUCAAGUGAACCUCCCAUCUCGGCCUCUCAAAGUGCUGGGAUUAUAGGUGUGAGCCACCAUGCCAGGCCAGAAUUAGCUUUUGUUUUCAUUAAUUUUUACUAUUGUUUUCCUAUUUUCAAGUUCAUUGUUCUGCUCAAAUUUUUAUUACUUAUUUUCUCCUGUUUGCUUUUUAGACUUAGAUGCUCUUUCUUCUUUAGUUUACUUAGGUGGAAAUUUAGGUGAGUGGGU
rnacentral:lncRNA from 10 species